rnacentral:rRNA from 1 species
CCUACGGGAGGCUGCAGUGGGGAAUUUUGGACAAUGGGGGCAACCCUGAUCCAGCCAUUCCGCGUGAGUGAAGAAGGCCUUCGGGUUGUAAAGCUCUUUCGCAAGGGAAGAAAACUUACUCACUAACACUGGGUGAGGCUGACGGUACCUUGAUAAGAAGCACCGGCUAACUACGUGCCAGCAGCCGCGGUAAUACGUAGGGUGCGAGCGUUAAUCGGAAUUACGGGGCGGGAAGCGUAAGCAGGCGGUGAAAUCCCCGGGCUUAACCUGGGAACUGCGUUUGAGACUGCAAGGCUAGAGUAUGGCAGAGGGGGGUAGAAUUCCACGUGUAGCAGUGAAAUGCGUAGAGAUGUGGAGGAAUACCAAUGGCGAAGGCAGCCCCCUGGGUCAAUACUGACGCUCAUGCACGAAAGCGUGGGGAGCAAACAGGAUUAGAUACCCGGGUAGUC